CGGGUGAGUAAUGUCUGGGGAUCUGCCUGAUGGCGGGGGAUAACUACUGGAAACGGUAGCUAAUACCGCAUAAUGUCUGCGGACCAAAGCGGGGGACCUCCGGGCCUCGCGCCAUCAGAUGAACCCAUAUGGGAUUAGCUAGUAGGUAAGGUAACGGCUUACCUAGGCGACGAUCCCUAGCUGGUCUGAGAGGAUGACCAGCCACACUGGAACUGAGACACGGUCCAG
rnacentral:rRNA from 1 species